rnacentral:lncRNA from 1 species
GCUCGUAAAGGCAAUCAAAAAUCUUGAGGCAAAGCAAACCAACCCUUGGUUUAACUCUACAAUAAAAGGACGUCUACUGUAAGUACUUUCCUGCUUUCCGGCCUUGCACAAUAUACAUCAGGGCUGUAAUUUGUCAGUACUGAUUAUGUAGACCAUUGGUACAGCUGUACACAUGUGAUGUGUGGCUUCCUAUGAAUGAUAUUUUUCCGCUGUUCACACCAGCAGUUCUAGCCUGUGAUUGAUUAAAACCUGUAUGUCUAGUAAUAAUCUUACUUCAUCCCGAAUGUGUUCUGGAGAAGUAGGAACUGGCAUUGGAAUUAUUUUUAGUUGAUUACUAUCUUUUAUAUGAUGCACAUUAGUGAAUAGAACUUGAGGAGCUUGUAGCAAAGCUUGUUAUGUAAUUCAAAUGCCAAAUGUUACUUGUCUUCAAGCCUCUUUAACAUUUUCUCGGUGGCACACUUGGUGUUUUAAACUCAUAGAUAGAAGCACGAAUAUGAGCUGAUUGUAUGAUUCUGCUAUCAUGUCCUUUAGCACUCUACUGUGUGUGGUACCCACUACCCAUAGAGUAUGUAUUGUCAUUAAAGUUCUCUUUUUAUGUGUUGUAAAACCGCACAUCACUACUAUAUGUGUUUUUUUUUUCAUUUCUGCAUGCAGUUCACAUGCAUGUAAUGCUUGAACUGUUUAUAUGUAUCGUUUCAUUACAGUGUAUUUGUCUCGUUUACACUAUGGCUUUCAGUUUGAAUUUGAGUGCCUGCUUAAUGAUGGAGAUGGUGGUUCCGAUUGGUAACUGAUAAGGUCCUGCUUUUGGCUUUGCGCGAUAUACAUCAGGGUUUACAUUUAAUUUGUGAGCACUGGCUAUGCAUAACCCAGCAGUGCACAUGUGAUUUUUAGCUUGUGCUAUGAAUGCUAUUUUUCUGCUAUGCGCACUCUCCAGCAGUUCUAACCUGUGAUAUAUAAACAUGCCUAUGUCUAGUUAUGUAUAAUAAGGUUACUUCAUCUCCAAUAUGUUCUGGAGAAGUAGGGAACUGGCAUUGUAAUUAUUUUCAGUUGGUUGCCAUCUUUUAUACGAUGCACAUAUAUUGAAUGCAACUUUAGGAGCUUGUAGGAAAGUUUGUGAUGCGAAAAUAGUGGUUCAAAUGCCAAAUACUACCUGUCUUCAAGCAUCUCUAUCAUUUUCUCAGUGGCAUACUUGGUGUUAUAAAAUCCUAGACAAAAGCACCAACGUGAGAUGUUUGUUUGAUUCUGUUAUCACGUCCUUUAGUACUCUACUGUGUGUGGUACCCAUAGAGUAUGUGUUGCCAUUAGGAUUCUCUUUUUAUGCGCUGUUAUAAAACCAUUCAUCAGUAUUAUAUUUGUUGUUCCAUUUUCUGCAUGCAGUUCACAUGGGAUACUUGAACUAUCUAUAUAUGUAUUGUUAUUACAUUACAGUGUUUUUUUUUUCUGUUUAUGGUAUGGCUUUCAGUUAGUAUAUUUGAGUGUCUGCCUAAAGAAGAUGAUCAGAUCUGAUUUUGUAUGACUGUGGUAGUUGAUAAGUUAUGAAGUGCGUUUUUAUGAAACAGAGUUUUCAUGUAUUGUAUUGUUCCAUUCCAAUGUGUCCUUCCUUUGUUGCUGGGAUAAUUCCUUAUUAAUAUUCCCAUGAUUUUUAGGAUGAUUUAUGACUUGCGCACUGGCAAGAACCUAUACCCUUGUCUAAGCAUGGUUCCUAUUUUUUAGGGACUGGCCAGGCCUGAUCGCGCUGACGCUGGCGGCUGGAGAGAUGGUGAGGAAAAUUUGGGGUUGAGCUUCCACGUAAGGUAAUUAUCCCCUUGCAACUCUAUUUUGCGCUUGCUUGUUUUAGUGCCAACCGUGGUCACUUACCUUGUUUUGCUGCUCUGUAGGCUAUAGGUAAAUGAAGAACGAAGACUAUUUUGCUUCUCAGUAGGAUGUACGUAACUGAAGAUGGAAGACUUUUGCUGCAACGAGUAGUGAAUGAUGUGGCUAUACAGAAACACGAACUGGACAGACAGACAGACAUACAUCACUAGUAUCUGGUGUCGAAAACGGGAAAUGCAGUUAACUGUGUUCAUGGUUGAACGUUUUGGCCUGUGACGUGUAGGAUGAUGA